rnacentral:rRNA from 1 species
CUACGUGCCAGCAGCCGCGGUAAUACGGAGGGUGCGAGCGUUAAUCGGAAUAACUGGGCGUAAAGGGCACGCAGGCGGUGACUUAAGUGAGGUGUGAAAGCCCCGGGCUUAACCUGGGAAUUGCAUUUCAUACUGGGUCGCUAGAGUACUUUAGGGAGGGGUAGAAUUCCACGUGUAGCGGUGAAAUGCGUAGAGAUGUGGAGGAAUACCGAAGGCGAAGGCAGCCCCUUGGGAAUGUACUGACGCUCAUGUGCGAAAGCGUGGGGAGCAAACAGGAUUAGAUACCCUGGUAGUCCACGCUGUAAACGAUGUCGAUUUGGGGGUUGAGCUUUAAGUUUGGCGCCCGUAGCUAACGUGAUAAAUCGACCGCCUGGGGAGUACGGCCGCAAGGUUAAAACUCAAAUGAAUUGACGGGGGCCCGCACAAGCGGUGGAGCAUGUGGUUUAAUUCGAUGCAACGCGAAGAACCUUACCUACUCUU